rnacentral:rRNA from 1 species
UACGUAGGGUGCAAGCGUUGUCCGGAUUUAUUGGGCGUAAAGAGCGUGUAGGCGGUUUGGUAGGUCCGCUGUGAAAACUCGAGGCUCAACCUCGAGACGCCGGUGGAAACCAUCAGACUAGAGUCCGGAAGAGGAGAGUGGAAUUCCUGGUGUAGCGGUGAAAUGCGCAGAUAUCAGGAGGAACACCGGUGGCGAAGGCGGGUCUCUGGGCCAUUACUGACGCUGAGGAGCGAAAGCGUGGGGAGCGAACAGG